AAGCUUGGUGCUACCUCUUUUCUUUUGUUUGUUAUUUUCUUUGAAUAAGAGGAUUGAGAGUUUUUAAAUAUUGUGAAGUGAAUUAUGGAAUGGAAAUGUGAUUGGUAUUAUUUGAGAAGAAGAAAGAUUGAAUGCUAAAAUCUAAUUGUAGUUCAGUAGAGAGAAUGAGUCUGUAUUUGUGUGAAACACCGUAUUGUGAAUGGCAAUUCUAUAUGAAGAAUUCCAAUGAUUGGAAUGAGGGUAAUUGUGUGCUGAAAGCUGUGAGGGCGCAAUAUUACAGUUGGAGAUUAUGAGGGUGAAUAUAUUGGUAAAAAUAGCAAUUAUUG
rnacentral:lncRNA from 1 species